GCGGGGGGCGCGGGGCAGCCGCUUGCCCGCCCUUGCCCUCCGCUCCGCAUCCGUGCCGCGGUCGUGGUGGUGCUGACAGCGCCCAGGCACGGCUCCAGCGAGCCCGCGCGCGCCCGCCCUCCCUCUCCACCUCUCUCUCCCUCUCUCCGGGUGUAGCCACAGAACUUUCAAAACAGCCCAACAAGUGACACUCUCCUCCUGCUGACCGAGGACACCGAGGCCCACGCCCGAAUGAGAGGACUUGGGCAGGGCCGAAGGCGGGCGCUGGGGCUCGGUGCUCUUCGCCGCCCGCUGCCUGAGCCAGGAUCCCCCUGGGAUACUAGGAGAGCUUCUGAAGAGCCCUCAGCACGGUGCAGGGCCAGCCUUCAUUUCUUCCUAGUCCUAUGUCACUCUCUCUCCAUAAUGCCCCAGGAGUAUCUUCCUGUGCAUGGGUCCUCUUCAUGGGUGUGAUCUCUGUAGGAGACACAGUGGGCGUUCAUCAUUUCAUCGCCUUCCUGGCCAAAGAGUAAGUGUUUAAAAAAUGUUUGUUGUGUUCAGAGUGGUCAUCAUCAUCCCCAAAUCCUCAAGAUUGGGGAAUGAACAAUGAACUAAAGUAGACUUAUUAUUAUUGUAUUAUUAUUCUAUUAUAGACUUAUUAUUAAUGUAGCAAUGGAAGAACUUGUAUCAAUGAUGUAAAGACAGGUGCCACCAGAGGGUCUGAGGGGAGAGAAAGGGAAGAAUGGAUAUGACAUGGGGACAUUUUUGGAAGAGAUUGUCCUGCAAGACACUGCAAUGUCGAAUACAGGCCAUUUUGUCAAAACCAAUAAAAUUGUGGGGGGCAAAGUGUAAACUGUAAUGUGAACUCUGGUCCCGUGGUUAGUAGUAGCAAUGCUUCAAUAUGUGUCUAUCAAUUGUAACAAAUGUACCACACUAAUGAAAGAUGUUGUUAAUGUGGGAAAGUGUGGGUGGGGUGGGAGAAGGGGUGGGGUAUAUGGGAAUCCCCUAUAUUUUUUAUGUAAC
rnacentral:lncRNA from 1 species